rnacentral:rRNA from 1 species
UACGUAGGGUGCAAGCGUUUGUCCGGAAUUAUUGGGCGUAAAGAGCUCGUAGGCGGUCAGUCGCGUCUGCUGUGAAAACUCGGGGCUUAACUCCGGGCCUGCAGUGGGUACGGGGCAGACUAGAGUGCGGUAGGGGAGACUGGAAUUCCUGGUGUAGCGGUGAAAUGCGUAGAGAUCCGGAGGAACACCAGCGGCGAAGGCGGCAUCCUGGACUGGUCCUGACACUCAGGAGCGAAAGCGUGGGGAGCGAUCCGG